rnacentral:rRNA from 1 species
UACGGGGGGGGCAAGCGUUGUUCGGAAUUACUGGGCGUAAAGGGCUCGUAGGCGGCCUUCUUAGUCGGACGUGAAAUCCCCGGGCUUAACUCGGGAACUGCGUCCGAUACUGGAAGGCUGGAGUUCGGGAGAGGAAUGUGGAAUUCCAGGUGUAGCGGUGAAAUGCGUAGAUAUCAGGAGGAACACCGAUGGCGAAGGCAGGUCUCUGGGCUGACACUGACGCUCAUGCACGAAAGCGUGGGGAGCAAACAGG